CAUUACACAAAUAUGAAGGCGGGCUGGAACCUCUCGGGGUUACAGCCUUGCUGAAUUAUUCACCCUUGUCUUUUGCGUACUUCUUGUUUCCUUGGUGGGUUCGCCCACCACUAGGACAACCAUAAACCUUUUGUAAUUGCAAUCAGCGUCAGUAACAAAUUAAUAAUUACAACUUUCAACAACGGAUCUCUUGGUUCUGGCAUCGAUGAAGAACGCAGCGAAAUGCGAUAAGUAGUGUGAAUUGCAGAAUUCAGUGAAUCAUCGAAUCUUUGAACGCACAUUGCGCCCUUUGGUAUUCCAAAGGGCAUGCCUGUUCGAGCGUCAUUUGUACCCUCAAGCUUUGCUUGGUGUUGGGCGUCUUGUCUCUAGCUUUGCUGGAGACUCGCCUUAAAGUAAUUGGCAGCCGGCCUACUGGUUUCGGAGCGCAGCACAAGUCGCACUCUCUAUCAGCAAAGGUCUAGCAUCCAUUAAGCCUUUUUUUCAACUUUUGACCUCGGAUCAGGUAGGGAUACCCGCUGAACUUAAGCAUAUCAAUAAGCGGAGGAAAAAAAACC
rnacentral:sRNA from 1 species